rnacentral:rRNA from 1 species
GACGAACGCUGGCGGUGUGCUUCACACAUGCAAGUCGAACGGGGUAGCAAUACCUAGUGGCGGACGGGUGAGUAACACGUGGGAAUCUACCAUUAGAUGGGGAAUAACAGGCCGAAAGGGACUGCUAAUGCCGCAUAUGUAUGUGCCUCGACAGGGGCAUAUAUGAAAGGAGUAAUCCGUCUGAUGAUGAGCCCGNGUCCGAUUAGCUAGUUGGUAGGGUAAAAGCCUACCAAGGCGACGAUCGGUAGGUGGUCUGAGAGGAUGAUCACCCANAAUGGGACUGAGACACGGCCCAUACUCCUACGGGAGGCAGCAGU